rnacentral:rRNA from 1 species
AUUGAACGCUGGCGGCAGGCCUAACACAUGCAAGUCGAACGGUAGCAGGAAGACGCUUGCUUCUUUGCUGACGAGUGGCGGACGGGUGAGUAAUGUCUGGGAAACUGCCUGAUGGAGGGGGAUAACUACUGGAAACGGUAGCUAAUACCGCAUAACGUCGCAAGACCAAAAAGGGGGACCUUCGGGCCUCUUGCCAUCGGAUGUGCCCAGAUGGGAUUAGCUAGUAGGUGGGGUAACGGCUCACCUAGGCGACGAUCCCUAGCUGGUCUGAGAGGAUGACCAGCCACACUGGAACUGAGACACGGUCCAGACUCCUACGGGAGGCAGCAGUGGGGAAUAUUGCACAAUGGGCGCAAGCCUGAUGCAGCCAUGCCGCGUGUAUGAAGAAGGCCUUCGGGUUGUAAAGUACUUUCAGCGGGGAGGAAGGGAGUAAAGUUAAUACCUUUGCUCAUUGACGUUACCCGCAGAAGAAGCACCGGCUAACUCCGUG